UCCACCUCCUCUUCCUACACACCAGUAAUAAUUGUCAGCAUAUAUUUCUUGACUGUCUACCAGCUGUUCUCUAAGUUCAUACAAGCACUUCAUAUCGAUAUAUCAAUGAGAAUCUGUGGAUUUUGUCAACAGACUAAUGGGAAGGUAUGAUGUCAAUUCCGUUUCUAUUUUGUUUGGCUUUAGGAUCAUAACGAUCUCUGCACAUUUCCAUUGACUUGGAAAGUGGUCUAGUCUGAGAAUCGCGUUAAAUAUAAGAGUGAGAAACCGAAUGCAUUUUGGUGGUAAACUUUUUAGGGUGAUACCGUCUAUUUUAUCAGGGCCUGGUGCUUUUUUAUUGUUCAAGCAUUUGAUUUCUGUCACAACUUCUACAUAUUUAAUGCUUUUAAUAGGC
rnacentral:lncRNA from 1 species